UUUCAAUGAACAAUACCAUCAGGACAGAAAUGUUUUAUUGUAGGAUAAGUAAAUACUUCAAAAUGAGGAGGGCCUGUCACAGCAAGACUGACUGGGUUGACAUACAGUGGAAAGGAGCUGUGAUGAAACAUCCAGUUCAGCAAGACAACACUAGCUGUGGAGUCAUUGUCAUUAUGAUGGCAAAGAGACUGAUGGAGGCAUUUCCACAAAUGCCAACAAUCAUUUUUGGAACAACCAAAAAAGACAUGGCGAGUGAGCUAAACAACCUUGCUUUAGAAAUUCUCAGAGCUUCAGUGUUUAAUUCAGAGACCACAUGUGCAAUGUGCUCUGCAACUACACCACCAGGU